GACGAACGCUGGCGGCGUGCUUAACACAUGCAAGUCGAACGGAAAGGCCCUGCUUUUGUGGGGUGCUCGAGUGGCGAACGGGUGAGUAACACGUGAGUAACCUGCCCUUGACUUUGGGAUAACUUCAGGAAACUGGGGCUAAUACCGGAUAGGAGCUCCUGCUGCAUGGUGGGGGUUGGAAAUUUUCGGCGGUUGGGGAUGGACUCGCGGCUUAUCAGCUUGUUGGUGGGGUAGUGGCUUACCAAGGCUUUGACGGGUAGCCGGCCUGAGAGGGUGAACGGCGACAUGGGGACUGAGAUACGGCCCAGACUCCUACGGGAGGCAGCAGUGGGGAAUAUUGCACAAUGGGCGGAAGCCUGAUGCAGCAACGCCGCGUGCGGGAUGACGGCCUUCGGGUUGUAAACCGCUUUCGCCUGUGACGAAGCGUGAGUGACGGUAAUGGGUAAAGAAGCACCGGCUAACUACGUG
rnacentral:rRNA from 1 species